ensembl:lncRNA
CUUCCUGGUGGGAGGGACGGGAACCUGCCCACUGGUGGGUGGAAUUGGGUCUUGUCUUUCUGGUGGUGGACAGGGAUGUGUCAGAGAGUAUAGUUUGUCGGACAGCUGUGUGCUCAGGACAACUUUAAGCAGCCUGUCUGCUGAUGCGUGGAGCUGUGUUCCCACUCUGUUGGUUGUUUGGCUUGAGACAUCCCAGAAUUGGAGCCGACCACCUGUUGGGUGGGGCCAGGUCCAAGAGGGCUCAUACCAAGGACUGCGGCCACCAGUGUCCUUGUCUUCAUAGUGAGCCGCUCCCCCUACCUCCACAGGCGACCAUCCAGCAUUAGCAGGUCAUCUGGGAAAAUGAAGCACACUCACCUGUAAGGACAAGGAGGCCCAGAAGCAGCCACAGCACAGACAAAUCAGUGACUUGGCACCACAGAUCCUGAAAUGAUUUUUAAAUAGAAAAUAGCUUGAAGAUGUGAAAUAUCAAUUGUCAUCAUCACACUAUGUACUGUUUCUAUGGAAAGGUGUGAAAAGAAUGAAGUGUCCCUUCAGACCAUGUCCCUAUGUCUGAAUAAGAAAAUUAAUUAUUGGAAUCAGAAUGAAAUAAGUUGAACUGGGACAUGUGCUCCAUCUGUGCUUUUAAUUAAAAGUUAUGAGACUCCUGCUCAGCCUACAGAGACUCAACAGACUGUCAAGCUACAGAAUACUGAUUCUUUCAAGAAACCAAGAAACUCUGGUUCUCAACAUGGAGAAACAUGGUGACCUGACUACAGAUCUUGAAAAGGAAGUUUCUGAUGUUUGUGCCUUAUCCUAGUAGCCUCCUCAUUUCAAAAUAUAAUUACCAAAAGGAGAGUUUUAUAUUAGUAUUUCACUUACUUGGGGUCUUUUUCCUUUAGGUUAGAGGAAAGGUUACACUUUCCUCAGUGCCUUGCUGUAGUCUUUGCUAUAAGAAGGAUCUGACUGUUCAUUGCAGCACUAUUUAGGAUAACUAGGACAUGGAAGCAACCUAGAUAUCCAUCGACAGAUGGAUGGAUAAAGAUGUGGUACAUAUACACAAUGCAAUCUUACUGAGCUAUAAAAAGGAAUGCAUUUGAGUCAGUUCUGAUGAGGUGGAUGAACCUAGAGCCUAUUAUACAGAGUGAAGUCAGAAAGAGAAAAACAAUAUUUUAUGUUAAUGCACAUAUGUGGAGUCUAGAAAGAUAGUACUGAUGAUCCUACUUUCAGGGCAGCAAAGGAGACACAGACAUAAAGAACAGACUUGGAAACAGUGGGAGAAGGAGAGGGUGGAAUGAUCUGAGAGAAUGGCAUUUUACAUAUGCAUUACCAUAUGUAAAAUAGAUAGCCAGUGGGAAUUUGCUGUAUGAUUCAGGGAACCCAGAACCAGUGC